rnacentral:rRNA from 1 species
UACGUAGGAAGCAAGCGUUGUCCGGAAUCACUGGGCGUAAAGAGCGCGCAGGCGGUCGUUCAAGUCGCGUGUGAAAGCCCCCGGCUCAACUGGGGAGGGUCACGCGAUACUGAUCGACUCGAAGGCAGGAGAGGGAAGUGGAAUUCCCGGUGUAGUGGUGAAAUGCGUAGAUAUCGGGAGGAACACCAGUGGCGAAGGCGACUUCCUGGCCUGUUCUUGACGCUGAGGCGCGAAAGCUAGGGGAGCAAACGGG